rnacentral:tRNA from 1 species
UAGCUCAGUUGGCUAGAGCAGCUGAUUUGUAAUCAGCAGGUCGUGGGUUCGAGUCCCUC